rnacentral:rRNA from 1 species
CAUGGUUGUCGUCAGCUCGUGUCGUGAGAUGUUGGUUAAGUCCCGCAACGAGCGCAACCCCUAUUGUUAGUUGCCAUCAUUCAGUUGGGCACUCUAGCGAGACUGCCGGUAAUAAACCGGAGGAAGGUGGGGAUGACGUCAAAUCAUCAUGCCCCUUAUGACCUGGGCUACACACGUGCUACAAUGGUUGGUACAACGAGUUGCGAGUCGGUGACGGCGAGCUAAUCUCUUAAAGCCAAACUCAGUUCGGAUUGUAGGCUGCAACUCGCCUACAUGAAGUCGGAAUCGCUAGUAAUCGCGGAUCAGCACGCCGCGGUGAAUACGUUCCCGGGCCUU